rnacentral:sRNA from 1 species
UCAGAUAUUUGUCUUUGUGCUAAUAUAUGGUUAUGAAGUUCUACUGUUUCAGAUGGAUUUCGUUAAUAAGUGUUCAUGGGAUUAAUACAACAAUCUUCAGCAUUAAUACAAUUUUUCUUUUCUUUCACUAUAAAGGAUUCUUAUUCGUUUGGUUGUUGAAAGAUACCAAGAACUCUCAUCAAAACUAGAGUACAAUUUUCCAUUGAAGUAGCAAGAGUAGAUCUAUGGAGGUGCUUUCCAGGAUUUUGAAGUAACGUGAAGCUGAAUAUUGAAAAUAUGCAAAGACAAAAAGGCUCGAGCGGGAAUCAGGGAGGUUCACUUCCAUUGACUUACAUCGACAGCAGAAGGCAGUAGUCAAGGUGCUCUCCUGAUUAGGUGGUGCUAGAGAAAACGAAGGAAAGCCUAGGUGCAUGGUGCAACAUAUGGUAAUUUGUUGGAUUGUUGCCCCCAAGACAUGAAAGUACUGAAACCAUUGGAAGGGCUUUGACUCUCGGUGUUAACAUCAAGAUGAUCACUGGCCAGAUAACCAGUUGUAAACUUGGAAUGGGAAUAAACAUGUAUCCAUCUUCGGCUUUUCUUGGUACGCACAAGUGGUAGGAACCAACAAACCCCAUGGAUGAAUAUGUCUCUCAAGUCUCAAUGGUUGUAAGUUUUGUCACGUAAGAGACAUGGAGAACAUACCUGGCAGAGAAUCAAGUGAAUUCCUCCAAAGAACUGAUCAGAUUAGAAAGAGCUAGUGUCUUGCGGCUGAAUAGAAUGGGAGAUAUGUAAAGGAAGGAACAAAUACUUUUGACAAACUAUUUAGGCCAUCGUCAAAGAUUUUGCAACAUACACAUCCAUUAAUUAGUAUUCAGUAGACAGUGGAAAGAAGUGUCUAAAGGAAACUUGAACCCAGAUGUCUGCAUAGAGGUAAAUCCACAUAAGAUCUCACACCCUCGGCCAAGUUCACAUCACACAUUAGAAUUAUAGAACCUUGACGUGUCUUUAUUCGGUGGAGCAUGGAAUUCUUCUCAUUGUAGAUCGCUGCUUGACAUUGUUUGACAAUCCACUGGUCGACUCUCUUCACACAACUUACAAUGAGCUCAAGUUACAGAAAGAAUGCAAGAACCAGACUUAAAAAUGGGUGUGUUCGGCAUUCUAAAUCAAUGUCACAAAGGAGACAAGCGGUAAGAACCACCAAACCCCAUUGACGAAGAUGGUCUCCUGGAAGAUUUGGCACGUAAGAGACGUAGAGAACAUACUUGUUGGAGCAUCAAAUGAUUUCCUCCAAAGAAAUUGAUUAGAUUGGGAAGACUAGUGUCUCGCGGCUGAAUAGGUAAGCAUGCUUGGAGCAUAACGGCUAGCGGCAAUGUCCAACUGCCAUUAGGAACAACCUGAAAAUCUACAUCGACCUCUUUGAUAGCGUGAUAUAGUCAUGUGUGCAUGCAUACAUUCAUAUGUGCAUACAUUCAUACAUCCAUACAUUCAUGCAUACAUUCAUACAUUCAUACAUUCAUACAUUCAUACAUCCAUACAUGCAUGCAUACAUUCAUACAUGCAUACAUUCAUACAUUCAUAC